GUCCCCAUAGCUCAACUGGAUAGAGCGUCAGCUUGCGGAGCUGGAGGUUGGAGGUUCGAUUCCUCCUGGGGACACCA
rnacentral:tRNA from 1 species